UACGUAGGGUGCAAGCGUUGUCCGGAAUUAUUGGGCGUAAAGAGCUCGUAGGCGGUCUGUCGCGUCGGUUGUGAAAACUCGGGGCUCAACCCCGAGCCUGCAAUCGAUACGGGCAGACUAGAGUGCUGUAGGGGAGACUGGAAUUCCUGGUGUAGCGGUGAAAUGCGCAGAUAUCAGGAGGAACACCGGUGGCGAAGGCGGGUCUCUGGGCCGAUACUGACGCUGAGGAGCGAAAGCGUGGGGAGCGAACAGG
rnacentral:rRNA from 1 species